rnacentral:tRNA from 1 species
ACUUACUUAACCAAGUGGUUAGAGUAUUGCUUUAAUAUGGUAGGAGUCAUUAGUUCAAAUCCAAUAGUAGGUU